rnacentral:lncRNA from 1 species
AAGAUCUUUCAAACACUGGACCAUUAAACAGGCAGCAUACACCAGCUGAUAUGAGGCCCCCAACACACAUACAGUAGAGGACUUCCAGGUCUGUGUUCAUUCAGAGAUGAUGCACCUAACCCUCAAGAGACUGGAGGCCCCAGGGCGUUUAGAGGUCAGCUCCAGAUCCUUUACAACUCUGCCAACCAACUGCUAACCAGGCCUGACCCUGCUUAGUUCACUUCCAAUUCUGAGAUAACAGGCAAUGAGGGUGUGUUCAGAAUGGUAUGACCUUGGAGCUUUCCAGAGGCAACUUCAGCAAGUCCAAGCCACUGCAAAGACAUCCAGGUAGACUCCUUCCUGUGCUCCCAUCUCAGGUGAUCUGUGUCCCUCCUGCCUGCAAGAGACCUUUCUCCUGCACACUACUGAGUUUCCCUGCGUGGGCAUCCGUGUGAUGUGGAGAAGAAGCAUGACCCACUGAACCUGACCGAGGUCAUCUGUGUGACGAUGGAACCAUUUGGAAGUAUCCACUGGAACUUGAUGAAGUCAACAGCGGGAAUACAACUGAAACCUCUGGUUGUCCCCUCUCUGAAACCUUCAGUAGUGCUUCUUAUUUUCACCAGGCUCCUGUGUCAAGAACAAGUCCUUUGCUUGGCCAAGCGGAAGCUCCGCCACCUCAGCACAGUGUCCGGCUGUGGUCCCUGGAUUUCCUGGAUCACAAAGAUAUAUUCUCUGGGCACUGGCAUUUAUCCAGAGUAGAGUUUGAGCUCAGGAUGUGUGUACAACUACAUGUCCGCACUUGACUGAUUGCAUCUCAGGACAAAGUGUGGGUCAGAGAAGGCACAGCAGAGUCACGCCUGUGUAUGUUUCGUCCCUGCUACUGCAAUGUCAUUGUCUGGAGCUUUUGUGAUGAGCAAUCCAUCAGGAGCACCGCAUGCUGUACAGUGUUAAGAGCCGUGUCAAGCCAGAGUCUAGUCUCAUUUUCAGAUCUUGUGGUUACUGAUGACACAUCUUCUGAAAAUGAAACAGUAGCCUUUUGCUAAGCACCAUACUUACCAACUCCCCUUCUGCAGAUGUCCAGAUGCCUCUAGUGUUAGGUCAGGAGGAUUAAACAGAAAAUAACAACAACAAACAACAACAGAAACCAACUCAUUGACCUAUCAAAGCUGAAAUACACCACACACACACACACACACACACACACACACACACACACACACACCAUAUCUUGAUUGCUGCCAUUCCAGUACUCACUGAUUUUAUCAAGGGAAAAAUAGCAGCGAAAAUGGCUUAUUCUUCCUCAAGCCAGCUCUUGAAUAGAAAACAGAGUGUGUGGGACUGCAAUGUGUCAGGAACAGGGAAAUAGAGGUCCUGCCUUGCUGGGUUGGCCUUCCUGAUCUCAACCCCUCCACCCCAGUAGAGUUGGAAAAAACACAGCAGUUCCUAUUUCAAAUUACACAGUUGGAUGAUGUUUCUCUUGGCUCCAAGUAGAAAGGCUGGUGCCCAGAGCGAUUUUUUGGCAAAAGUGCAAUAUAUGAAGUUUUUCUUCCCUUCUAACAUUCUCAGCAUCACUCUUAAUCACUUUUCUCUUGAUCUCUAUCCAAGUUUCCCAAGAAGGAUUUCUUUUUUCUCUCUUGCCUCAUCUACUUGUGAACUCAGAGGGAUCUGCGACAGUUUCUCCAUCUCUAAAAUCUGUGGCAGUGUUUCACAACUGUAAUGUGUAUAUGAAUCUGCUAUACUUAGUCCUUUUUCUGAUAACAAAACACCUGAAUCUUAGUAAUUUGUAAAAAAGAGAGGUUGCUCUAACUCACAGUGUGGAUAGCUGGGAGUUCAAAUAAUAUUGCACUAGUUCUGGUGAGAAAGCUCCUGGCUACAUUGUAUCAUAGAGAGAGGGAGAGAUGGCAUGGCAAGACAGAAAGCCAGAGGGCAAGGAGAGGCAAGUAUUGCUUUGUUACAUCAACCUCUUCCAAGAACUGACUCAGUGUUCAUGGAACAGUGUUAGUUCCUUCCAUUCCUUUUAUACCCAUCAAUCUUGGACACCUAGUUUCCUCUCAUUAGGCUCUACUACCUCCCAACAUGAUGGCAUCUGGGCUAAAAUCAGAGCACAAAAACCCAUGUUGAACAUAUUCAAACCACAGCCAGACCAUACACAUAGUAUUAUGAAAAUGCAAACCCAGAACCAGUAGUUCUGGAGUGGAGUAUGAAUCUGUAUCUCUGAUAUGCUUCUAGCAAAGAUGGUGUGGCACAAAGCCAUAAACCAAUGCCAGGGGGAAGCCAACCAAAACUGCUGUAUCAGUAUUUAAGUAGGAAAAGGAAGUUCUACAGGUGCUGAACUCUCUGGG